rnacentral:rRNA from 2 species
AAAUUGAAGAGUUUGAUCAUGGCUCAGAUUGAACGCUGGCGGCAGGCCUAACACAUGCAAGUCGAACGGUAACAGGAAGCAGCUUGCUGCUUUGCUGACGAGUGGCGGACGGGUGAGUAAUGUCUGGGAAACUGCCUGAUGGAGGGGGAUAACUACUGGAAACGGUGGCUAAUACCGCAUAACGUCGCAAGACCAAAGAGGGGGACCUUCGGGCCUCUUGCCAUCAGAUGUGCCCAGAUGGGAUUAGCUUGUUGGUGAGGUAACGGCUCACCAAGGCGACGAUCCCUAGCUGGUCUGAGAGGAUGACCAGCCACACUGGAACUGAGACACGGUCCAGACUCCUACGGGAGGCAGCAGUGGGGAAUAUUGCACAAUGGGCGCAAGCCUGAUGCAGCCAUGCCGCGUGUAUGAAGAAGGCCUUCGGGUUGUAAAGUACUUUCAGCGGGGAGGAAGGUGUUGUGGUUAAUAACCGCAGCAAUUGACGUUACCCGCAGAAGAAGCACCGGCUAACUCCGUGCCAGCAGCCGCGGUAAUACGGAGGGUGCAAGCGUUAAUCGGAAUUACUGGGCGUAAAGCGCACGCAGGCGGUCUGUCAAGUCGGAUGUGAAAUCCCCGGGCUCAACCUGGGAACUGCAUUCGAAACUGGCAGGCUUGAGUCUUGUAGAGGGGGGUAGAAUUCCAGGUGUAGCGGUGAAAUGCGUAGAGAUCUGGAGGAAUACCGGUGGCGAAGGCGGCCCCCUGGACAAAGACUGACGCUCAGGUGCGAAAGCGUGGGGAGCAAACAGGAUUAGAUACCCUGGUAGUCCACGCCGUAAACGAUGUCUACUUGGAGGUUGUGCCCUUGAGGCGUGGCUUCCGGAGCUAACGCGUUAAGUAGACCGCCUGGGGAGUACGGCCGCAAGGUUAAAACUCAAAUGAAUUGACGGGGGCCCGCACAAGCGGUGGAGCAUGUGGUUUAAUUCGAUGCAACGCGAAGAACCUUACCUGGUCUUGACAUCCACGGAAGUUUUCAGAGAUGAGAAUGUGCCUUCGGGAACCGUGAGACAGGUGCUGCAUGGCUGUCGUCAGCUCGUGUUGUGAAAUGUUGGGUUAAGUCCCGCAACGAGCGCAACCC